rnacentral:ncRNA from 1 species
AAUUAAAUAUACGCUUCUGUUUUAUGGAAACCGGUGUAAUUCCGGUGCGGUGCCGCCACUGUAAGGGGGAGCCGCUGUGCAGUCAGGACACUGGACCCGAGGGGUCUGGGAAGUCGCACGGCGGCGGGGAACCCGAGCCAGGAUACUUGGACAGAAUGCCUUGCGUCGU